rnacentral:rRNA from 1 species
UACGUAGGGUGCAAGCGUUGUCCGGAAUUAUUGGGCGUAAAGAGCUCGUAGGCGGCUUAGCAAGUCGGGUGUGAAAACUCCAGGCUCAACCUGGAGACGCCACUCGAGACUGCUAUGGCUAGAGUCCGGUAGGGGACCACGGAAUUCCUGGUGUAGCGGUGAAAUGCGCAGAUAUCAGGAGGAACACCGGUGGCGAAGGCGGUGGUCUGGGCCGGCACUGACGCUGAGGAGCGAAAGCGUGGGGAGCAAACAGG